GAUGAACGCUGGCGGCGUGCCUAAUACAUGCAAGUCGAGCGAAUGAUGAGGAGCUUGCUCCUCUGAUUUAGCGGCGGACGGGUGAGUAACACGUGGGUAAUCUGCCUGUAAGACGGGGAUAACUCCGGGAAACCGGGGCUAAUACCGGAUAACAAGAGAAGAAGCAUUUCUUCUUUUUGAAAGUCGGUUUUGGCUGACACUUACAGAUGAGCCCGCGGCGCAUUAGCUAGUUGGUGAGGUAACGGGUCACCAAGGCGACGAUGCGUAGCCGGCCUGAGAGGGUGAUCAGCCACACUGGGACUGAGACACGGCCCAGACUCCUACGGGAGGCAGCAGUAGGGAAUCUUCGGCAAUGGGCGAAAGCCUGACCGAGCAACGCCGCGUGAGCGAUGAAGGCCUUCGGGUCGUAAAGCUCUGUUGUUAGAGAAGAACAAGUACGAGAGUAACUGCUCGUACCUUGACGGUACCUAACCAGAAAGCCACGGCUAACUACGUGCCAGCAGCCGCCGUAA
rnacentral:rRNA from 1 species